rnacentral:misc_RNA from 1 species
AUGAUCCUCCUGCUGGUGUCUCGGUAAUUUCUGCUUUCCUAAGUGAUUAUAAUUUGCUUACAGGUAGAAAAAGGAUGCAUGUGUUUUUGUUUUUGUUUCUCCAUGCACAUUGUCACAUAUUUCCAGUUCAAUCAUGGGGCUUUUUUUUUCCUAUUUAUGUGGUUUUAUUUAUAGUAUGAAUGGUAAAAUUAUUGUUAUUGUCUCUUGAGUUUCUUUGAGAAAACGAAUACUAUAUAUGGCUUUGUUUCCUGUGCUUUUAUAAUUUUCACCUACACCACUGAAAGCCUAAAAUUCAUGAGGACUGAAAAUACAUAGAACAUGGUUAAAACAUAAUAUAAUAUGAACCAAAUUGUUAAGAUAUGAUAGAAUAAGUCGUGCAUGCUGAUGAUUGUGAACUGUGUAGUCUACCUGAUAUAUCUAAGUGGCAUUAGCUAUGAAGUUGAAAUUGGAAAAGGAACAAAAAGGGAAAGGUUCUUCCUUUUCAUAAUCUUCUUUUGAACGAGCUGUGCCUUUUUCUUUUUCUUUUCCUCUUGGAUGAAAUGAUGUUGGGUAUUUUGUUGGAUCUUCAAUGGCAAAUUAUUAAUGGGUUUUCCAUCUUGUUGUACUGGAAUUCCUUUUUUAGAUUCG